rnacentral:rRNA from 1 species
CCUACGGGAGGCUGCAGUAGGGAAUAUUGCUCAAUGGGGGAAACCCUGAAGCAGCAACGCCGCGUGAGGGAUGAAGGUUUUCUGAUUGUAAACUCCUUUUGUUAGAGAAGAUAAUGACGGUAUCUAACGGCUCAUCACCGGCUAACUCCGACCCAGCAGGCGCGGGAAUACGGCGGGUGCAAGCGUUACUCGGAAUCACUGGGGGUAAAGGGCGCGUAGGCGGGAGAGCAAGUCAGAUGUGAAAUCCUAGGGCUUAACCAUAGAACUGCAGUUGAAACUGUUAGUCUAGAGUGUGGGAGAGGUAGGUGGAAUGCUUGGUGUAGGGGUAAAAUGCGUAGAGAUCAAGAGGAAUACUCAUUGCGAAGGCGACCUGCUAGAGCAUAACUGACGCUGAUGCGCGAAAGCGUGGGGAGCAAACAGGAUUAGAUACCCUAGUAGUC